GUCGAACGGGCCUGGUUUUCGGACCAGGUUAGUGGCGUAAGGGUGAGUAAUGCGACGGCAACCAACCCCAUGGUUGGGCAUAACCGCGGGAAGCUGCGGAUAAUACCCAGCGAUGUUCGUGUCGGGCAUCCGGUGCGAACCAAAGUUUCGGCGCCGUGGGACGGGCCGUCGUGGUAUUAGGUUGUUGGCGGGGUAAUGGCCCACCAAGCCUCUGAUGCCUACCGGGCGUGCGAGCGUGGCCCGGCACACUGGGGAUGAGACACUGCCCAGGAUCCUACGGGAGGCUGCAGUCGAGAAUCUUCGGCAAUGGGCGCAAGCCUGACCGAGCGACGCCGCGUGGAGGAUGAAGGCCUUCGGGUUGUAAACUCCUGUCGAGGGGGAGGAAGGCGCAAGCUUGACCUAUCCCUGGAGGAAGCACGGGCUAAGUUCGUGCCAGCAGCCGCGGUAAGACGAACCGUGCGAACGUUAUUCGGAAACCACUGGGCUUAAAGCGCGUGUAGGCGGAUGGGAACGUCGGUUGUUGAAAGCCCCCGGCUCAACCGGGGAACUGGCGCCGAAACGUCCUGUCUUGAGGAGCGUAGGGGGACCUGGAACUUCCGGUGGAGCGGUGAAAUGCGUUGAGAUCGGAAGGAACGCCCGUGGCGAAAGCGAGGUCCUGGACGUUAUCUGACGCUGAGACGCGAAAGCUAGGGGAGCGAACGGGAUUAGAUACCCCGGUAGUCCUAGCUGUAAACGAUGGGCACUGGGUAGGGGGCUCGCCGAUGGGCUCUCUGCCGUA
rnacentral:rRNA from 1 species